CCGGCGCGCGGGCGUCCUGGAGAGGGGCGCUGCCGGGCCUGGCAGAGGGCGCGGGGUGCAGGCGGGGACCCCGGGCACCCCGCCCUCUUCAUCCCCCACUCGGCGCUCCUGUUCGAUGGCUGCCUUCUCACUUCGUCCUCAUCUUUGGGAGAGACAAGAAAGGGAUGGAGAGAGAAAGAGAUCAAGUGAACAAGUAUGGGAGAUCAAGAGAGCUCUGGAGUGCCAGGAACCCCCCCAUUCCUGACCAUCCUUCAUAAGGACAGCCACCACUGGAAUCGUGACAUCGGGAGGUAGCAGCAAUAACAGCAGUCACAGAACGCUGCCAUCACAGCCACCACUCUGCUCGGCCAGAUGCCCACCCCUCGAAGGCAACAAGUGCAAUGGCAAUAAUCGCACCAUCUGGUUCAAAAUAUAAAACGUUCCCCUGGUGCACCUCCCAUCACUGUUUAUGCCACACACUGCAGGGAACAGCUAUGCUGACUUGUGUCACCAUAAAUUAGUUCUGCCUUAUCCUUGAACCUCAUAUAAAUGCAAUCCUACACGUGUGUCUGGCUCCUUGCGUUCAACAUUACUUCUCAGAUCCAUCUGACUUGUUAUGUAUGAUAUAACGGCACUUUGCUAUUUUUGGUGCUAUAUAGUAUUUCGUUGCAUGAAUAUACUAUAAUGUAUUUAUCUAUUCUCCUGUUGGUAAACAUGUGCGUUGUUUCUGGUUUGGGAUUAUUUUGAAUAAAGCUGGUUAUU